rnacentral:rRNA from 1 species
AGGGCGCGNGAGGUGCUUGCACCUUUCAGCGAGUGGCGAACGGGUGAGUAACACGUGGAUAACCUGCCUCAAGGCUGGGGAUAACAUUUGGAAACAGAUGCUAAUACCGAAUAAAACUUAGUAUCGCAUGAUACAAAGUUAAAAGGCGCUACGGCGUCACCUAGAGAUGGAUCCGCGGUGCAUUAGUUAGUUGGUGGGGUAAAGGCUUACCAAGACAAUGAUGCAUAGCCGAGUUGAGAGACUGAUCGGCCACAUUGGGACUGAGACACGGCCCAAACUCCUACGGGAGGCUGCAGUAGGGAAUCUUCCACAAUGGGCGCAAGCCUGAUGGAGCAACGCCGCGUGUGUGAUGAAGGCUUUCGGGUCGUAAAGCACUGUUGUAUGGGAAGAAAUGCUAAAAUAGGGAAUGAUUUUAGUUUGACGGUACCAUACCAGAAAGGGACGGCUAAAUACGUGCCAGCAGCCGCGGUAAUACGUAUGUCCCGAGCGUUAUCCGGAUUUAUUGGGCGUAAAGCGAGCGCAGACGGUUGAUUAAGUCUGAUGUGAAAGCCCGGAGCUCAACUCCGGAAUGGCAUUGGAAACUGGUUAACUUGAGUGUUGUAGAGGUAAGUGGAACUCCAUGUGUAGCGGUGAAUGNNCGUAAAAUAAA